rnacentral:rRNA from 1 species
UACAGAGGUCCCAAGCGUUGUUCGGAUUCACUGGGCGUAAAGGGUGCGUAGGUGGUUGGGUAAGUCUAAUGUGAAAUCUCCGAGCCUAACUCGGAAACUGCAUCGGAUACUAUCUGGCUAGAGGAUUGGAGGGGGGACUGGAAUACUUGGUGUAGCAGUGAAAUGCGUAGAUAUCAAGUGGAACACCAGUGGCGAAGGCGAGUCCCUGGACAAUUCCUGACACUGAGGCACGAAAGCUAGGGGAGCAAACAGGAUUAGAUACCCUGGUAGUCCUAGCCGUAAACGGUGCACGUUUGCUGUAAAAGGAAUCGACCCCUUUUGUGGCGAAGCUAACGCGUUAAACGUGCCGCCUGGGAAGUACGGUCGCAAGAUUA